rnacentral:rRNA from 1 species
AACCUCCGCAAUGUGAGAAAUCGCGACGGGGGGAUCCCAAGUGCCAUUCUUAACGGGAUGGCUUUUCAUUAGUGUAAAGAGCUUUUGGAAUAAGAGCUGGGCAAGACCGGUGCCAGCCGCCGCGGUAACACCGGCAGCUCUAGUGGUAGCAAUUUUUAUUGGGCCUAAAGCGUCCGUAGCCGGUUUAAUAAGUCUCUGGUGAAAUCCUGCAGCUUAACUGUGGGAAUUGCUGGAGAUACUAUUAGACUUGAGAUCGGGAGAGGUUAGAGGUACUCCCAGGGUAGAGGUGAAAUUCUGUAAUCCUGGGAGGACCGCCUGUUGCGAAGGCGUCUAACUGGAACGAUUCUGACGGUGAGGGACGAAAGUUGGGGCGCGAACCGGAUUAGAUACCCGGGUAGUCCUAACUGUAAGCGAUGCGGACUUGGUGUUGGGGUGGCUUUGAGCUGCUCCAGUGCCGAAGGAGCUGUUAAGUCCGCCGCCUGGGAAGUACGGUCGCAAGACUGAAACUUAAAGGAAUU